GCCAGAGGAACAGAGAAACCACAAGAAUGGGACCUGGAAGACACUGCUAUGAGGCUCUUCUGACAGGAUGGAGAGUAUACACCCGAGUAUCUCACAUUUCAAGAGUUUUUUAGCCCAGUCAAAGGUGUUUCUGAAAGAGAAGUCUAUGGGAGUCCUGGAUCAUGUCACCCAUCAGCUAUUAAGAAAAAUGUAUCCAACCCAGUGAGGAACAAGUUCUAGCCCUGCCAGGCCCUGUCUUGCUCCUCACAGAAGAGCCCAACUCAGAGGAGGGAGAGUUCUGUGGGUUUCUGAGAUACAGGCGUGUGUGCCAUGGUCUUUUUCAGGGCUGGAUGAAAGGAGUUGUGUUCAUCAAUGGACAAAACAGAGGCUGCUACUGGUCAUUAGGUCCCCAGAAAACCCUAUAUCCAGACAGCACUAUGGCUUCAUUCUGCAACAAAAGAGAUCAUUGUGUUUGAGGAAGUAGAAGCUGGUCUCUAGCUGAUCCAGUUCACAGAACAGCCUCAUUUGGGUAUGGCAUUCUGAAGGGUCUUUUGUGGCAUCUGGAUGACCUUCUGGAUGUUUCUAGCUGAGACAGGAAUAAAGGAGGCAGGAUGUGUGCUCUCGCAGAGCUCUGAAGUGGCCUCCCUCCUUGCCUGAUGGAUGGGUUCUCUUGGGCCUGCACAGCACUGCUCACCUCCUUUCAUUUUACUAUGACCUAACUAGUGCACACCUCUAACACCCUGAGCCCGACUCUCUUGGCCCUUCUUCCACACAUCUCCUGUCUCACUGUCAGCCCAUUCCAGCCUUCACUCCAGGCCUUUCUGAAGCAUACCCUGCUCCCACUGCUUUCUUUUGCUGCUGUGGAGGUAGCGCCAGGGCACUUUUUCUAGUACCUUUCCCCGGGCUUCCGCAGGUAGAGAUGACUUAGACCAGUUAUGUGAGGUUGCAGUGCGGCCGUCUGGUGCCUGCUGCAGUGGCUGCCCAUGGUCUGUCCCUGCCUCCCCAGCUCCUUUUGUUAGCAGUGGGAUCCAAACAUGCUUUUGGGGAGUCACCCCACUUCAGUGAAACCUUUGUGGGCCUAAUAACUGAGCUGCACUCCUGCCCCUGCCCCGCGUGGGGGUGUGGUACACAGGAGGCUAGUGGGACAUUCUUUUGCAGGCUACAGAGCCUAGAGGGGUUGACAUGCAGCAGAAAGCAGACAGAGCUGAGUCACUUCCACAGUGGUGACUGAGUAGCCUGGGUCACAGGAUUUGCCCUGCGUUGGGCCUGCUUGCCACCCUGUAACCCAUGGGGCAUUUUUUGCUUGGUUUAAGCCCACCCAGUGCACACCCUUCGUUAUAUGGUGACAACAAAAAGUUUGGCCCCCAAAUACAGUGUUGAAAACAGAAAGGAGAUGCUCAGAAUACCUGACUGUGCAAAUGCAUAUCUGGAGCAAAGCGACCUUUCCAAGAAAUCAAGUAAAAUAGAAAAGCGAAUGCAGGAUAUUAUGGGUUUAUAGAUGCUACGUGUUUUCAGUGUUAUAAUUAAAAAAAAAUGUUUCCUUUUUUCUUCCCCAUAGUUUUCCAUACCAUUGGUUUUCCAUAGUCAGGCAGAAACCCUGCUUCUCUGAGAUUUAGGCCAACCCACUGUCCCUCUCCUCAUCACCAUUUGUACCUAACUCACAGCCUUGAUGGUUCCCUGUUAUUCUCCCAGUUUUCUUUUGGGUGGUACUGGUCUUUCUGAGCCAUAGCAAAGGGCAGAGAGAGCCAUCCCAGCCCCAGGGUGAGUCAGCUUGGUGGUACCGCAUGGGAAUGCAGAGGGAAGACUUAUGGUAUUUUUGGUGUUUUGGUUUUUUAAGCCAUUACAAGUUCCCAGGUGGUAAAAAUGCCCAGGGUUAUCUAACGGGCUCUCUGGGGAGCUUGGGGGUGUGGGUCACCCUAGUAGCAAGCUAGCACUGCAUGAGGGCUGCAAAGAGCCCAUGCCAACACCUGAAGGAAUCCAGCCAGACCUCAAGAGACUCCGUGAGCUCCCAUGGAAGCCAGCAUCAGGCCAGUUGCACAGGGUCUACCAGACCUGGUCAGCCCGGGCAGGAUGGUGAGUGCGCCCCUACCAGACCCAGUCAGCCUGGACAGCAUCGUGCGUGCGCCCCUUGCAUCCUGCACUUGUGAUGCCAGGAUGCCACCCAUGUGGACGAGGCCUUCCACAGCCCACGUAGGUCAGGGGGCAAGAGCUGCCUGCUCAGGUGUCUCCUUUGCUGCCCAUCCCAAGCUCAGUCUCUCAGCUGCAGCCCACAGAAGAGGAAGAAGCACAGAUGGCAGCUUGGCUCCAUCCUUUCGUCUCUUCCUCCUGUUUUCCACCACCGUCCAGCAUCAGAAAGUGUCAGGAUUCCCCACGUCAUGGCCUCUUACUUCCAUAAACUUGAGGCACGUUGCAGCACCUGGCGGGCUUGCCCAAGCAAAGGUGGCUGGGCCCUCCUGGAAUUGCUGGCAGGCGGGUCUGGGGUGAGGCUUGGGGGUGUGCAUUUCUAGUGGGGUUCCAGGUGGCGCUCCCAGUGCUGCUCUAGGACCCCACUCUGAAGACCUUUGCCAUCAGCAGAGUCUUACCCGCAGCACUCACAGUGUUUGGGGCCGGCCGUUCUCUAUGGUGGGGACUAUGCUGUGCAUUGCUGGAUGUUUAGCAGCAUCCUCUGGGCUUACCCACUAGAUGCCAGGGGCACACCCUCCACUCCUAGUUGUGACAGACAAAAAUGUCUGCAGAAACCACUCAAUGUUCUCUGGGGAUGAGAAUGCCUUCAGGUGAAAGCUCUUCUGUGGAGCCGUCAGCUCUCCCAGGCAGAAGGUUGUGUUUCUGACUCUCCAGCAGAGCACUAGAGCUGGGCCUCAUGGAUCAGUCUUUAUAAAUGAAAAAACAAAGAUGAACCUGUUUCUUCUGCACAAUCCUAUUUCUGAAUAUAGAAACAGCUUGUUCCUUAUUUCUCCUGUUCUGCUAUUGAAACAAAUGCUGAUAUUUCCAUAGAUAAUGAAUUCCUAGGGUAAAUUGGGUUAAAAGCCAUGUAUGGGGGAGGCUAAAGAGAAAAUGAUUGUUACACUUUUACAGAUUCUGCUCCCUUUACACCUAUAAAAGGCAGGUACGCUGAGGGUGGUGUACAGAUCCCAUCUAUCAAGGAGCAGCUCCUUGCUGGUGCCAGGUGCUUUCCCUAUCUUCAUGACCACUCGGUCCUUGGCAGUGUGCAGAGCUCUGGCCCAUCAGGGACUCUCCUUUGUAGCAGGAGUGGUGGGGAACAAACCUCUCGAACACUGAACACAGAACUGAGGAAGUGGCUUUUUAUUCAGCUGGAAGCCUCAUUCACUGAGCUCCCCAAGCUGCAGCUUCUCUCCCCUUUUAUAGGCUUACAAAGCUAAAGGGGAAACUGAGGCAGAACUAUGUAAUUGUCUGUUUGCUGGACAUCCGACCUUACAAUAUUUUGGCUUCAUUGAUUUGCUAAUUCAUAUGCAGCGUGAGCUGGGGUCAGCAGGGGAGGGGGGCAUGCAGAGACAAGACAAAAGCAAUGAGCUGUUUGUUCGCCGAGGUGUUUCCAGGAGGCAGCCUGGUCCGUGGAGACAUGGAGGCAUGAACCAGUGCCAGGCUCCAGCCGGCAGAGCUAACAAUCAUUUGCAGCUCUUUCAAGGUUAACAGAUAGCAGAGACUCUGGGAACUAAAGAGGGAGUCAUUUUCCCAGCUCUUUGGUAUUUUAUUUCAUUUUUUUUUCCUUCACCCUCCUUACCAUCUGGAAGAGGAGAGGGAGGAGGUGAAAUUGAAGGA